GACAGGUUUCUAUGGAAAAGUUGAACUUAAUGCCUCCUGGAUGACCACAGCUCUCCCUUGAUUACUUGAAUACAAAACUCCUAUCACAGGCAUUCUUUCAUCAUCCUCAGCAAUGAGGAAGAAAUAAGAAAAACAAGGAAUGGAAGCAGAGAAUGAAGAGCACAGGAAUCUUGCCACUCAAGGAAAAAAGGAGACAAAGGUCUGAUGCAUCAGCAGAUUAAGAAAAUCUUCAGGAGCCUAAGAGAAGGAAUGGAAGGCCAAGGUUCUGUGAUGUAUUUCCAUAUCCAGUGAUGUAAUUCAAAUCUCAGCAGUGGUACAAUUGCAGUCUAAUAGCAGCAGAAUCUCCCUUUCCUGAUGGAGCUCUUCCUGGCUUCCAAACUCUGCUUCAGAGGAUUGCACAGCCAACCAGAGCAGAUUUUUAGUGUGCACAAGAGGUUGUAAGG